UAACUGGAGAGUUUGAUCCUGGCUCAGAGUCAACGUUGGCGGCGUGCGUAACACAUGCAAGUCGAACGAUCCUUGAGUGGCUUGC
rnacentral:rRNA from 1 species